GGCGAUGUAGCUCAGCUGGUUAGAGCAUCGGAAUCAUAAUCCGAGUGUCCGGGGUUCAAAUCCCUGCAUCGCUACCA
rnacentral:tRNA from 1 species